GAGUUUGAUCAUGGCUCAGGAUGAACGCUGGCGGUAUGCUUUACACAUGCAAGUCGUACGGGAGUUUUUAACUCAAGUGGCGGACGGGUGAGUAACACGUAAGAAUUUACCUUUAGGAGGGGGAUAACAACUGGAAACGGUUGCUAAUACCCCAUAUGCUUUCGAGUGAAAUGGAUUUUUCCGCCUAGAGAGAAGCUUGCGGCUGAUUAGCUUGUUGGUGAGGUAAUGGCUCACCAAGGCGACGAUCAGUAUCUGGUUUGAGAGGAUGGUCAGACACACUGGAACUGAGACACGGUCCAGACUCCUACGGGAGGCAGCAGUGGGGAAUUUUCCGCAAUGGGCGAAAGCCUGACGGAGCAAUACCGCGUGAGGGAUGACGGCCUAUGGGUUGUAAACCUCUUUUUUCANGGAGGAAUCAAUGACGUGUACCUGAAGAAUAAGCAUCGGNUAACUCCGUGCCAGCAGCCGCGGUAAGACGGAGGAUGCAAGUGUUAUCCGGAAUCACUGGGCGUAA
rnacentral:rRNA from 1 species